GCGGGAUUAGCUCAGUAGGUUAGAGCGCCAGAAUGUGGCUCUGGAGGUCAUGGGUUCGAAACCCAUAUCUCGCC
rnacentral:tRNA from 1 species